ensembl:lncRNA
CUGUCUUCCCCCUUUGACUGGCAGAGACUCUGAGGGCCAGGUUGUCCCCACGCUACCCAGAUCCCGUCUCACUGUCUGUCUCUCACAGAGGAAAGAUGGCCAGAACACAGAAAGUGGGGAGACAGACCCUAAACAGGAUGCAGGAAUGGACACACAGUACACCAUAAAGGGCAUUGUACAAAAUUCCAGAGCAUCUCAACCAGAGCUGGGGACCGAACCCAGGGCCUUGCGCUUGCUAGGCAAGCCCUCUACCACUGAGCUAAAUCCCCAACUCCCUGAGACCUUUUUUGAUGCACAUAAAUUAGCGUCGGAUAUUUUUAAAGUGUGUUAAAACUCAGGCUUUUGCGCCCCCUGGCGGCUGCUCCCGUGAACUGCAGUGGCGCCUUCGCGCCUGAUCUUCCUACUCGAGGGCGCGGUCAGGAAGCUGCGCCCGCCGGUAGUGCGCCUAGAAGCUUCUUGGGCGACCAGGCCAGAUGUGGACAGAUUGGUCUCUGCUUUUGAGGUUCUCUACAGAAUGUGAGCACCACCUCGAGUUGCCCGAGGCUCUACAUAUUUGCAGGUACCAGUUAUGGAUGAGUUGUUUUUUUGUGCUUUUUCAGGAACCAGGGUCUUUUCUAUUACAUGUAGUUAGUGGGGGAGGAGGCACGUGCAACGCUGCGUGCCGGGGUCAGAGGGCAACUUACGGUAAUCGGUUUUCUCCUUCCAUCAUAUGGGUCCCAGUGAUCAAACUCAGGUUGUCAGGCUGGGGUGCAAAUGCCUUUACCUGAUGAGCCAUCUUGCUGGCCCUUUAGUUUUGUUUUCAGGAAGAGAUAGUAAUGUCUUGCUGCUCUGCGGCCCACGCUGGUCUUGAACUCAUGAUUCAACUUCAACUUCCUGAGAGCUGAAAUCACCGGCCUGUGUGACCUCUCCAAACUUUGUAGUUGCGAUCUAGUCGGAUAAAUGAGCACACGCAAUGGGCGGAGCUAAGCUGAUUGCGACCAAAAAAAAAAAAAAAAAAAUCCCUAGCGACAGACAAGACAGACAGGGUUGCAGACAGGAACACUUCCUCACCUUGGACGACCCAAGGCUCCCCAGCAACUGUCCUAUCCAGAGGAUGCCCCACCCACCCUUCUCGGGCUCCCAGCCCCAUAAUAAGAUGCGGAGUUAGCUACUGGUACGUUCAUCUCUGUAAGAAAGUCGGUUUGUCAAGGGCCAGGACUUUGAACCUUGUUCACUUGUACAUCCUAAGCCCUUCCCAGGGUGCCAGGCGUACAGCUAGUGUUUAACUGAAAGUUGUUGAAUUAACUGGAGUUGAUAAUGAAGCC